UUGAAUUUCUUUAAAUGUAAAGUAGACCUAUCGAGAUAGAAUUGUGAGUGUGGGGGAAAACUGUACUAAUUAAAUGCGUAUUUCAAGUACAACGCGAAUAAGUAAUGUUUUAAUGAACAUGUCAAAGACAUUCAGAUGAUUGCUCGACAGCGCUAGUGUCGGCCAAAGAAUGAAGGUGAUUAAGGUAGCCAUUUUGUUUGUGAGGUUGGUGUGAUGUGAAAGAGUAUUGGAGCUUAUUUUACAGCNUUGUAACGAUUUAAAAAUUAAAAAGCGAUAAAAUCUCUUUGAGUAAUGUGGUCGAAAAAUAUAUCGGCAUAAGAUCUUGCAGGUAAAAGGAAAGUGCCAAUGCAGUGUUGGCCGACAGCGGGAUACGUAAUUUUGUCGUGCGAGACAAACUCAGCACAAUGUGCAGACUAAAGAAGAGGUUUGAGAUAUGCAACGAUAUAUACAGACCAGUACACAAGGAGCAGUUUGCACUGGGAUCUGUACCCACAGCCACAAGACUAAUUACAUUUUGCUUGAACCUAAGGUUAUGCAGGAAGCAAUCAGUUUUUCCAGCUGGUUACUGUAGAAUGUGCAAGUGCCAUUACACAAUGUAAAAGUAUUGGUGUUGUACGUACUUUAUGCACGGACAUGAAGAAUCUAUUUACUUGAGAACUGAAGAAUUUGCUACGAGCCUUGAGUCAUGCUUAAAGACAGAUGGGGCACUGUUCUAACAGUUUUUAUAGAAUGUGAUAAGUUUGUGUUGGGACCGGGGAAACUUGUUACCCUGCACUUGCAAGCAGCAAAUUUCCAUCUCAGCCGAAAGCCCACUAGCAGUAUGAGGCUUCUAAUUUAAAUCUUCUGGCCUCUUUCUUUGUUAACAGUUCCUAAGAGACGUUUGUAUUCACUGGUUGGUGCCCACUGUUCUUUUAUUGUGGAGCAGUGAGAAUGGAAGUAGUGUCACCCUCACCUUCAAGGAGUUCAUGAACUUCAGGCUGAAGAUGGACAGUCUCAAAGUUUCUGCCAUGACUACAGGAAAAAUGCUUCAUAAUACAGGCCGGGGCUGUGCAAGCGACAGUGUAAAGUGCUGUACCAGAUGCUGAGAGUUGUCCGUGGCACCACUGUACACCGUGUUGACUUCACACUGAGGAAGAGUAGUGCAUCGUGCAUAUGAAGUACAGCAGGAUAUGUGUAUCGUGGCAAGAGCUGCAGCUCACUGUAUUGUCUGAAGUUGGAAAGUACACAGAGGAUGCUAGAGGAAGACAGAUACAAUGAACUCUUGCUAAUCUAGAUUAAUUGGGCGGAUAGGUCGUCUGGUUAAGUGAUGAUCUGGACUAGUGUAGCAAAGGGUAGCCCUAAAA